CUCCUUCCGGCAUGUGGUAACACUGGCGAGGAAGGAAAGCCGCGCGCGCACAGGUGCCGGGCCCCGGGAACCUAUUCGAUUUAGAAGAAACACACUGAUGGUUGCCCUGCGGACCCGUGCCUACACCGCCCGAGGGACCCCUCCCACCUCCGCUCCGGAGCCCAGAAGUUAGCUGUGGAGUUUGUUUGUCGCGCCCGCGCACCUACAGUGAGCAAGGAGAGCCGGCGCCCGCCGGCCCAGAGCUCUGUCCCGCUCUCUGCUCCUGCAGUUCCUUCGCUGCCGCCGAGAUCUCGGGGCGACAGUGAGCGGCGGCGGCGGCGGCGGCGCGAAACCCCGGCGGCAGUCUCCGAGUCUCUGUAGCCGGGUCGGGAAAGCGCCGCGCAGCCUGCGCAGAAGCAUCCUCGAGUAACUGGGGAAAAUGAGGACGGUAUUGUGAGCUUUGUAGGAACAGCAAAGAGAAGAGAGCACGCCUGCACCAGGAUGGCCGAGUGGUUAAGGCGUUGGACUUAAGAUCCAAUGGACAUAUGUCUGCGUGGGUUCGAACCCCACUCCUGGGCGCUGCUACAAGGCAGCCCAAUUUCCCGCAGUGAAGCGACCGUGUCUCCAGGAACCGACCUGAGCCAGGCGGGAAGAGGCUCCCCGGAGAGGUCCAUUCAGUUAUCUGGAGUCGUAGAAAAAUAUUUUUCGAAAAACUCGGAACUCUGUGGGAAAUGAUAUCAGCAUAUUUAAAUUGUGACACCUACUGGUAAACUUGAGGCUGGAGAGAUGGCUCAGCAGUUAAGAGCACUGACUACUCUUCCUAAGGUCCUAAGUUCAAAUUCUAGCAAUCACAUGGUGGCUCACAACCACCCAUAACGAGAUCUGACGCCCUCUUCUGGUGAGUCUGAAGACAGCUACAGUGUACUUAUGUAUAAUAAUAAAUAAAUCUUAAAAAAAAAGAUUUCAUUUCAAAAACAGGAAUUUUGGAGGAAAACAUGGAUUGCAUUUUUCUGAUGUUUAUUGAAUUUCUUGUUUCACUUAACAGUCUUUAAAUGCCUAGUUUUCCAGUGGCAGCACCUUCAAAGGCAGAAUUGUGGGUAAUUCCUUAAAUAAUGUCUUGGGGGUUUUGUUGUUGUUGUUUUUUAAAGUAAUGUUUUGAAAUCUCACUUGAAAAGAAAAGAAAAAUAAACUCUGAGUUUUCAA
rnacentral:tRNA from 1 species